GUGAUUUCAAACGGGAGAGAGAGAGAGGGAGAGAGAGAAAUGGGGUUUAACGUCCACUCGACACAAAUUAGGUCAUUUCGGGACUAACAUGAUUUAAUUUUAUUUCAAUAAAUCGUUUGCGCGUAGGGGUCUUUAGCAGUGGGAGGAAACCGGAGAAAACCCACGAGGUUGGACAGGCGACCCUACUCCUUGUCACGUACAACCGGGGAUUCGAAACCACGCCAGUUGACUCAAUGACAGGCUGCGAAUCGUUUUAUCCAUCUCAUUCAAAAAAACUCCUGCAACUAUUGGGGUGACGUGCUGCACUAUGAUAAAAAUAAUGCUGUGAUUUUAAAGAAUGUGGCCCGAUUUGGUUUUUCUACAAUCACCUUCCCACCCUGUCUUCUGAUAUCUCUUUUAAACUAUCGCUCCAGUCAUCUAUAAAUAUUGGUGGGUGUCGUACACAUGGCAAUGAAUGCUUACUUGUUCGAUACCUCCCGACACCACUUUUUCUUCAAGGAAUUAACUUAGCUAACUCACUUUGGUCCUGCUAUUGUAAUUCUAGAUUUUUUAAUAUAAUACCAAAUAUAAUUCACUUGUGGGCACAAAAUGUUUCAUUAUUUUGAGAAAACAAAUAAUUAAUCAACGUUUUCCUACUAUCUUUUAUAUUUAUCAAAUCUGCUACUUAGGCCUAUAUAUGAUGUAAUGAGUACAGCUGUAUUUUUGUGACUUGUAGAAAGAGACUAGGACAAUAAGUCGACAUCUCGACGUUACGAUAAAAAUAACACGAUGAUACGACAGAAUGAAGUGUCGUAUGAUUGCGUCAAUACUGUCGUGAUGUCGUGUUGUCGCGUUAUGAAAAGGGCGAGAUUUAACAUGGCCACUAUCAGCCACCAUAAUUUCCCGGAACAAUCGGACCUGUCGGUGUGGCCGUCAUAUCCGAAUUAAAGCGCCCAAGAUGAAGGACAAUCGAAUAUCAUACAUCAACCGCAAAAAGUUCACAGGGUCGUACUCCAGGCUGUAUGUGAUCAUCGAAUUCGAUUCACUCAUGUUCACACCGACUGGUCUGGGUGUAUACACAUGACGCUUAUAACUAUUUUGCUGAAUAUUGUAAAUUUCCCGGAACAAUCGGACCUGUCGGUGUGGCCGUCAUAUCCGAAUUAAAGCGCCCAAGAUGAAGGACAAUCGAAUAUCAUACAUCAACCGCAAAAAGUUCACAGGGUCGUACUCCGGGCUGUAUGUGAUCAUCGAAUUCGAUUCACUCAUGUUCACACCGACUGGUCUGGGUGUAUACACAUGACGCUUAUAGGGUUUUGACGAAUUCUUGAAUUUCAGGAGGGAGAAUUCCUACUUGGGGACCCAGUCUGCCCUCUACAGCCAUGGCUUAUGACUUCACACAAUGAUUUGGGGAAAUUGACCCGUAAUCAAAAAAAAAAAAUAUUUAAUAAACAGCUCAUUUCUGCGAUAGAACGUGCCUUUGGGCAACUGAAAGGACGCUGAGUGUCCUUUUCUAACUCCUGGAAUCGUUGCACCAAGAUGUAGAAUAGAUGUAAAAUAAACACAACACUACUGUGGAAUGGAAAUAUGGCAUUUUUAAUCGGAGCAAAUUGUCAAGAAUAAUUCUUCCGUCGCCUAAACUUAAUCUGCAAAUAUAACUUCGAUCAAAAAAUUUAAUUGCUGCCAUGUUGAAUAAUUGGAUUAUGGGUUACUUCGGCCUGGCGCGAGUAAGCCGUUUAAAUGACGUCAUCGGUAACCCGAACGCACUCGUGGAGGCUCAUUCCAAAUUCCAAAUUCCAAAUGCGAAAUUCCAAAUUCAUGUAUUACCAAUCAAAUAGCAAAUUGGCAGCCCCCGUCAAUUAAACAAAUUAGAAUUUAAAUAAAUUGUAAUUUUACACAACUAAAUUACUAGAUUCGAAAUUUCAAAUGCGAAAUUCCAAAUUCGACAUAAUCACGUGACAGUACUAUCAUCAUGGCUGCUGUAGAGAAGAUAAUACGCCCACAGCAGCUAAAUCGUCCGGACAGUCAACAAGAGUUGUCGCAUAUUUUUUCUUUUUUCGGUAAUGAAACAUUUAUAAUACACUAAAAUCUGAUUAAGAGUAACAACUUAUUAACUUCAAUGAAAAUCAAUAUACUUGUUCGUCUCAAGACCUUGAACUCUGUGUAUCAAUCUGAAGUCAAGCGGGUGAUAACUUUAGCAUCUAGAGCGUCACAAGAUUUUUCAAAGUGACCAAGGGCCAUAACUUUGGCAGUAAUUAUCGGAAAUCGCUGAAAAUAAACAGGCUUCUUUGUCUCGUGACCUUAAACACUGUGUAUAAAUUUAAAGUCAAUCAAAUAUUAACUUUAGCCUCUAGAGCGUCCACAAGAUUUUUUGAAGUGAUCAAGGGCCAUAACUCUGGAAGUAAUUAUUGGGAAUCGGUGAAAAUCAUUAGGUUUCUUCGUCUCAUGACCUUUUAAACACUGUGUAUAAAUUUAAAGUCAAUCGGAUAUUAACUUUAGCCUCCUAGAGCGUCCAAAAGCAAUUGUGGGCGCUUGACGGACGGACGGACGGGGCGACGACAAUAUACGACCACAUUAUACGAUCGCAUUUGGAAUUUGGAAUGAGCCUUCUGGGCUUUCGUAGACCCACGCAUCCGAUAGGUAAACUGGCACUAAUUAGUUGUGUAAAAUUACAAUUUAUUUAAAUUCUAAUUUGUUUAAUUGAGGGGUUCUGCCAAUUUGCUAUUUUAUUGGUAAGACAUGAAUUUGGAAUUUAGCAUUUGGAAUUUGGAAUGAGCCUUCUGGGCUUUCGUAGGCAAACGUUCUAAUGCUGGUUAAAAGUAUACGGUGAAGUAAAUAGAGCGAGUGUUUAUCUUUUGAUAAUAUUCAAAGACGAGUUAUAGUGUAUAGUAUAGAAUUGAACUUGCUAUUGGUGUAUACAUCUACUAAUAUAUCAUGUGUGUAACCUGAGCAAGUCCUAAAACUCGCUAUAUUAUAUAGGCCUAGUAGGUUACAAGGCAUAGAGUUCGAACAUAAGUCAUAAGCCAUAGCGCUACAGAGAGCACGGCAGAUAUGGAAUUAACAGGCGAUGAGGAGAUUACUGUAACAAAAGUCAAACUAAAGCGGUCAAUUAAUUUUGCUUCAACAACUUCUAUAUUAUUAACGAAUAUUGGUGGUUCUGCUAUUUUCAUUUCACCAUCAGCCAUUCUGCAUUAUUCUGGUUCACCAAUAGUGGCACUUAUACUCUGGUUAAUAUCAGGAAUUUUGAAUGCAGGACUGGCUUUCUGCUUUGUAGAAAUAGGACUUUUAUUUCCAAAAGCUGGAGGUCCAUACUUUUACAUUUUAGAAGUCUUUGGUUCAUUGUAUGGCUUCAUUUUCCUGUGGGGAUUUGUUUCAUUAAUAUUUGCAUCAUCAUGGGCCAUAUCAUCUUACUCAGCAGCAAUUUAUUUAGUGACAGCUGUAAGUCCAAGUUGUCCAUAUCCAGAUUUAGCCGUGAAGAUUUUGGCAGGAUGGAUUAUAGUAACAUUAGUGGUUUUGAAUUGUACCUACAUGAAAUUGGUAACAAAAAUACAAGGUAUUUUAAGUAUGGCAAAGAUUUUAGCAUUGUUGUUAAUUAUUGUGACCGGGUUAUUACAGUUGUCAAAUUCAGAAAAAAAUAACUUGGUAACACUAAUAAAUAUAGAAGAUAGAUCUAUUGAUGUUGGGAGCUUAGCACUGGGAUUGUUUGCUGGUUUUUUCAAUUAUGGUGGUUGGUCAGGUUUUAUCAGGUAUUUGUUAGUAUUUCAUUCUGAGAAGCACUGGCUGUCUGGCUCACUAUGGUGUUGGCGAAAGUUCCUCUGGAUUUUCACCAUGGUUUCCCGUUGUCAGUGGUGCAGGAUGGAGGGUCCGGUAAGAACGGAGGCCAGUCAGUUGGAUAGAAAAAACAAAAAAACAAGGUCCUGUAAACCCUUUGGUGUACAGAAAAAAGAACCUAUGCCAGUUAGAAUUUGAUGAAGAGUAGGCAGAAUCACAGCCCUGGGAGAAAUUUCCCUCAUAGCACAUUGCAUGAUCUAUGCCUGUCUUCAUUUGCCCGGUUGGUGCAGAUGGUAGGACGUCAAACCUCAUCUCAUGGUUUUCCGAAAAAAAGUCAUCAAAGCUUCCUAUUCAUUCACUACAUGAAAAACAAGAUUUGAAAAAAAACCAAUCUGAUUGAAACACAGAUCCUAUUUUGUUUCGUUUUUUACAGUUCAAAAUUUCAUUUUACUUGUCUUUACUGCACUAGGAUCUGGAAGAGUUGUUAUAUAACCUGCUUUCUGGUUAAUGUGUGGGAUUAGCCAAUGAAACGGUCUGUUGCAGUGAGUUCUUGGCGUGUGAUGCACAGAACAGUUGCUGUGGGUAUCCUGCUGAUUGGUUAAUCAAAUGUCUGAUGCAAUGGGGUCAAAAGCCGCCCGUAUGACCCCUGAUGCAACCUCCCACUACAGCUGGUCAGAUUUUCAUGUAGUAGAGGCCAUCGAAAGUAUAAAAAAAUGAAAUGAAAUAUAGAUCUGUAUUUUAAACAGAUUGGCAAAAAACCUUUUUAAAGUGAAAAUUGCAUAUUUUUUAAUCACUACUAUACAAUCAUAGGGAUCGUUCUAGCACUUAAAAAAGCAUUCACAUAAAAAUUGGAAAUAAUUUCUACUUACUGACAGUAUUUGGAAUUUGUAUCAAUUCUUUUUACUGAACAACUAAAUCUACACAAGUUGACUCGAUUGGCAAGGUCCGUGGUUAAACAGAUAAGAAUAAUGAUGACUGGUUGAGCGAGACUUUUCAAACCUGCACACAUGAUAAUAACACUGUAAAGUCAAAGUUGGAUUUAAAAAGAAAAUGAUAUAUUUGCCAAUUUCUCGACUGACACAAAUGAAUUAUAGGAUUUAGAAUUAUUCGUUAACAGGGUAGGACUAUGUGUAUAAAUGCCAUGUAUUUUAAGGCUUUAUUUUAGCAUAUUUUAAACAUUUGACUUAAAAAAAAAUACAAUUCUCGCUUUAAAUUAUUUACAGUAUGAUAAUCACAAUGAACAUAAAAAAUUGUUAUUCCUGUGACAAAUUCAAAUAUACACCCAUCUACUGUGUUUUGGGCAAUAGCUAACAGUGAAUAUAGAUGUAACUCCUGCAAUGAUGUAACAAUGUUUAGAAGUGUGUAUAAUAAAGACCAGUAUACAUUAAUCAGCUGAGUAGAAUAUGUAGUGGGAGUUAUAUGUACCGGUAACUUUAAUUUAAAUAACCAAAUUAAGUUGCCAAUCGUUCAUAUAUUUAUUACCCGUACAGGCCUCCAUAAUUACCAACCUAUCACAGCAUCGCGUUCGGAUUACGCCGAAUCUCGCCUUCAUAUUCUGCUUCGCUUUCAGAAGUCGUUUGCUAGCGUCAGGACAACUGAAAAAAGGAGUUCAACCUCCUUCCUCCCCACCUCCAGCCUUUGUGAUAUUUAAUUAUGAAACUGACACAAGUUAUGGUAGCUAUCAGAUUUGAGAUAUCCCUAUGUUAUAAAUAUUCCAAUAUUGCCAAAGAUUUAAAUUGUUAUGAUUAUAAUUAGACCUUAAUAAAUGCUAAUGUUAAUAAUUUGAGUUUAUUUAAAUUGCCCAAUAACUCACAGUGAUUAUAACUAUCUGCAUAAAAAUAAACACUUGUCUAUAAUAUAAAAUUUGGGAUUCUUUCAGUUACCUUUGUUUUGGCCUUUGAAAACAAUAUGGUAACAAACCUGCCUUUUAAGACUAGAAUAUUAAAAUGGCUACAAAAUGUGCGAAGUAAGACUGUCGCUUUGUUACACUUUUUUUAUUGUUGCUUAUGUAAGGGAUAAGUAUUAGAAAAUAUUUGAGUAAGAACAAGAAAAACAUGAUGGCGAGUAAGGUAUUUGUCCAGAGAGUUUCCUAUAAACCCCUUGAAAAGCAUUGUUUAAUACCUUAGUAAUUAAGAAACCCACUCAUGGCUGCAGCUGUUUGAUGAAAGUAUAACAGAAAAAUAUGUAAAGAAAUUAUUUCGUUUUUAUUUAUCAUUAAAGGCAGGUUAUUACAAUUCUUAUGGAAGAAGUCCAAAACCCAUCAAAAACAUUACCCAAAUCAGUGUUUUUAUCAUUCAGCAUUAUGAUCUGUCUGUAUGUAUUAGCUAAUUUUAGUUAUGUAUUGCUACUCACACCUGCACAGAUGUUUUC